CCUAGUGCCGUCCCCGUUCCUGACUCGCGCAUGGCAGGUGGUGUCCUCCGACAGGCCCUCCAUCCUCUCGAAUACCGGUCGGCGACGCUACUGCUUUGGGUAAUCUCAGGACCCGUCUUGAAACACGGACCAAGGAGUCUAACAUGUGCGCGAGUCAUUGGGACCGCAUGCCUAAAGGCGAAAUGAAAGUGAAGGUCGGCCUUAGCGCCGACCGAGGGAGGAUGGGCCGCGUUACGAUGCGGCUUCGCACUCCCGGGGCGUCUCGUUCUCAUUCGAGAAGAGGCGCACCCAGAGCGUACACGUUGGGACCCGAAAGAUGGUGAACUAUGCCUGGUCAGGACGAAGUCAGGGGAAACCCUGAUGGAGGUCCGUAGCGAUUCUGACGUGCAAAUCGAUCGUCGGAA
rnacentral:rRNA from 1 species